ANGGCUUAUUUGACUCAACACGGGGAAACUCACCAGGUCCAGACACAAUAAGGAUUGACAGAUUGAGAGCUCUUUCUUGAUUUUGUGGGUGGUGGUGCAUGGCCGUUCUUAGUUGGUGGAGUGAUUUGUCUGCUUAAUUGCGAUAACGAACGAGACCUUAACCUGCUAAAUAGCCAGGCCCGCUUUGGCGGGUCGCCGGCUUCUUAGAGGGACUAUCGGCUCAAGCCGAUGGAAGUUUGAGGCAAUAACAGGUCUGUGAUGCA
rnacentral:rRNA from 1 species